GUCUCUGUCUGCGCUGGUGCCCCGCCUUUCUGGCAGUGUUAAACGCCAGGAGAACCUCUCAUGAUUGAAGAUUAAAGCGGUUCCUCUCCUCUUGUGGUCCAUUUUGUACUUUUCUGCCGGAUCAAAUACUGAUCUUGACCAGCAAAGGAAGAGACGUUUGUCAGGCAAGAGCACGUUUUUACCUCAUAUAGAAGCCAUCUGUUUCGGUCAUGUUUUCCUCCACACCUAUUUAAAAAAUUGAAUUUGGUUAAUUUACUCUUUGACUAGUAACACACUGCAGGACUCCCACACUGUGAACCCUUCUCUGGUUUUGCUUCGUUUAAAAGUCAAAAGUAUAUGAAAAGGAAAGGAAAAGGAAGGGAACUUAAUAGAUAAAUGAACCAUAAAUUAACAGCUCAAUUCUUUCUCACCCAGCACUCUUAUUUGCAAAACAGAAAAGAAUAUUAUCAAGAUAAAUGGAGGAAACAUUAUGCAAAUGCAUUCAUGCAAAAUAUACCUGAAGUAACACGAUUCUGUGAUGUGGAGCACAAAUGAGAUACGGAAUUGUUCAGCGGAAAAUGUUUUUGCAGAUAUUCUCUAAAACCGAAAA